rnacentral:rRNA from 1 species
GACGAACGCUGGCGGCGUGCCUAAUACAUGCAAGUCGAACGCAGUGGGGACGGGUGAGUAACACGUGGGUAACCUCCCAUCAGAGGGGAUAACAAUUGGAAACAGGUGCUAAACCGAUACUGAUGGAUGAACCCGCGGUGCAUUAGCUAGUUGGUGAGGUAACGGCUCACCAAGGCCACGCUGCAUAGCCGACCUUCAGUGGUUAUCGGCCUCCCUGGGACUGAGACACGGCCCAUACUCCUACGGGAGGCAGCCGUAGGGCAUGUUCGGCCAUGGACGAAAGUCUGCCCGAGCACCGCCGCGUGAUUGAAUAAGGUUUUCGGAUCGUAAAACUCUGUUGUUAGAGUCGCGGUAUCUAACCAGAAAGCCACGGCUAACUACGUGCCAGCCGCCGCGGUAAUUC